rnacentral:rRNA from 1 species
UGUAAGCGUAUACCAAAGUUGUUGCAGUUAAAACGCUCGUAGUCGGAAUUUGGCAGUUCCGGAAGUGUGCACGUCGUGUGCGCACUUUGCGUGGACUGCUUUUGUGGUCUUGCGUAGGAUGAGGCACUUUCAUUAGUGAACGUCCUCACGCAACCACUCUUUACUGUGAGAAAAUCAGAGUGCUCAAAGCAGGCAUUUGCCGUGAAUGUAUUAGCAUGGAAUAAUAGAAUAGGACUCGGUUCUAUUUUGUUGGUUUGUUGGGACUGAGUAAUGAUUAAGAGGGACAGUUGGGGGCAUUUGUAUUCCGGCGCUAGAGGUGAAAUUCUUAGAUUGCCGGAAGACAAACUGCUGCGAAAGCGUCUGCCAAGGAUGUUUUCAUUGA